GACGAACGCUGGCGGCGUGCUUAACACAUGCAAGUCGAACGGAAAGGCCCUGCUUUUGUGGGGUGCUCGAGUGGCGAACGGGUGAGUAACACGUGAGUAACCUGCCCUUGACUUUGGGAUAACUUCAGGAAACUGGGGCUAAUACCGGAUAGGAGCUCCUGCUGCAUGGUGGGGGUUGGAAAGUUUCGGCGGUUGGGGAUGGACUCGCGGCUUAUCAGCUUGUUGGUGGGGUAGUGGCUUACCAAGGCUUUGACGGGUAGCCGGCCUGAGAGGGUGACCGGCCACAUUGGGACUGAGAAACGGCCCAGACUCCUACGGGGGGCAGGAGGGGGGAAUAUUGCACAAUGGGCGGAAGCCUGAUGCAGCAACGCCGCGUGCGGGAGGACGGCCUUCGGGUUGUAAACCGCUUUCGCCUGGGACGAAGGGUGAGUGACGGUAAUGGGUAAAGAAGCACCGGCUAACUACGU
rnacentral:rRNA from 1 species